AACCACUCAAGCCUAGCUUGGUAUUGGGGCACGCGGUCUCGCGGCCCUUAAAAUCAGUGGCGGCGCCGGUGGGCUCUAAGCGUAGUACAUACUCCCGCUAUAGAGUUCCCUCGGUGGCUCGCCAGAACCCCUAAUUUUUACA
rnacentral:misc_RNA from 1 species